rnacentral:rRNA from 1 species
UACAGAGGGGGCAAGCGUUGUUCGGAAUUACUGGGCGUAAAGGGCGCGUAGGCGGCCUGCUAAGUCGAACGUGAAAUCCCCCGAGCUCAACUCGGGAACUGCGUCCGAUACUGACAGGCUUGAAUCCGGGAGAGGGAUGCGGAAUUCCAGGUGUAGCGGUGAAAUGCGUAGAUAUCUGGAGGAACACCGGUGGCGAAGGCGGCAUCCUGGACCGGCAUUGACGCUGAGGCGCGAAAAGCGUGGGGGAGCAAACAGGG